rnacentral:rRNA from 1 species
CACGUAGGGUGCGAGCGUUUGUCCGGAAUUAUUGGGCGUAAAGAGCUCGUAGGCGGUGUGUCGCGUCGGCCGUGAAAACCUGCAGCUUAACUGUGGGCUUGCGGUCGAUACGGGCAGGCUGGAGUUCGGUAGGGGAGACUGGAAUUCCUGGUGUAGCGGUGAAAUGCGCAGAUAUCAGGAGGAACACCGGUGGCGAAGGCGGGUCUCUGGGCCGAUACUGACGCUGAGGAGCGAAAGCGUGGGGAGCGAACAGG